UACGUAGGGUCCGAGCGUUGUCCGGAAUUAUUGGGCGUAAAGGGCUCGUAGGCGGUCUGUUGCGUCGGGAGUGAAAACUUACAGCUUAACUGUGAGCGUGCUUCCGAUACAGGCAGACUUGAGGUAUUCAGGGGAGAACGGAAUUCCUGGUGUAGCGGUGAAAUGCGCAGAUAUCAGGAGGAACACCGGUGGCGAAGGCGGUUCUCUGGGAAUAUCCUGACGCUGAGGAGCGAAAGUGUGGGGAGCGAACAGG
rnacentral:rRNA from 1 species